rnacentral:rRNA from 1 species
GGGUCAGUAGGUUGGUCGUGCCACCGGUACGUACUGGUCUCACUGAUUCCUCCUUCCUGAAGAACCGUAAUGCCAUUAAUUUGGUGUUGCGGGGAAACAGGACUGUUACUUUGAAAAAAUUUGAGUGUUUAAAGCAAGCUAACGCUUGAAUACAUUAGCAUGGAAUAAUGAAAUAGGACGAUCGAUCAUAUUUUGUUGGUUUCUAGGAUUGACGUA